rnacentral:rRNA from 1 species
UACGUAGGUGGCAAGCGUUGUCCGGAUUACUGGGCGUAAAGAGCGCGCAGGCGUCGUCCAAGUCGCGUGUGAAAGCCCCCGGCUCAACUGGGGAGGGUCACGCGAUACUGGUCGACUCGAAGGCAGGAGAGGGUAGUGGAAUUCCACGUGUAGCAGUGAAAUGACGUAGAGAUGUGGAGGAACACCGAUGGCGAAGGCAGCCCCCUGGGUCAAGAUUGACGCUCAUGCACGAAAGCGUGGGGAGCAAACAGG